rnacentral:tRNA from 1 species
GCUGCUAUAGCUCAGUCGGUAGAGCAACUGAUUCGUAAUCAGUAGGUCGUAGGUUCAAUUCCUAUUAGCAGCUCCA